rnacentral:lncRNA from 1 species
GGCCCAGCGCCCGGGCCGGCGCCCAGCCAGUCCCCACCCGCUGGAUUUCCUGAUGUAAACAGAGCAAGAACACAGCAACUCUGCUGAAUGUGUCACGCGGCGCUCUUUAUCUGCUUGGGGUCAAGACGGCGACUUAGAAAAACAGAAGCGUUGCUUUGAAUUUAAACAGCUAAGAGCCAGAGCCGAGACUGGUCUGCAGGGGGGAGGGCGAAGGCCUCCAGACCCACCUCCCGCUUUUGUGCCUACUUGUUCCACUUUAUGGCAUGAUUUGUUUCCUUAGGAAUUCCUUCUAUAGUACUUGGAGCUUUGUGGAUAAAGCACCAGUCAGAGCCGCCCUGUGGAAAUGGAGCAAAGGUAAUUAAAGACACACGAGUGUGUGCUCUUUCCUUUGGAGACUGAGUCCU